UACGUAGGGUGCGAGCGUUAAUCGGAAUUACUGGGCGUAAAGCGUGCGCAGGCGGUUCGUUGUGUCGGUGGUGAAAGCCCCGGGCUUAACCUGGGAAUGGCAUGGGAAACUGGCGGGCUGGAGUGUGGCAGAGGGGGGUGGAAUUCCGCGUGUAGCAGUGAAAUGCGUAGAGAUGCGGAGGAACACCGAUGGCGAAGGCAGCCCCCUGGGCUAACACUGACGCUCAGGCACGAAAGCGUGGGGAGCAAACAGG
rnacentral:rRNA from 1 species